CUUCAGGUCUGGUAGUAACGGCUCCCCUUUGUCACUGGCCCUGGGUACUCAUCAUCUCUCCUUUAAUUCAUUCAUUUUCCAUUUAUUCAACUCUUCUCAAACACCCUGUCUGAAGGUGCCGGUAAAAUGUAAGACCAUGUCAAUUGCCCAUAUCAGAGAACAUUCUUGUAUGUUACACUUGGAGUAGCUUGGAGGGAAGACUAUUGAAAACUAGGGGGAGGCUAGCCCCCAAGCCUCCCCUGGGGCCACCACUGUUUGUCUCCCCAGGACAUUAUGCAGCAGGCGUCAAUAACUGACUCAAUGAAUGAGUUGAUCCUGCCCGGCCCCUCCACCGCCCAAUAGCAGACCGCCUCUGCUUUCCUUCCACCCGGCCUGCUUCAGUCUCCCCGGCCAAGCCCAGGUGACAGGCUCCUUCCUUUCCCGGUCCCUGAGCCAGCCCUCUGGUUAUACAGCGGUGGGUGGGUGGAGAAGCCCUGCGCCCAGGCCCCCAGGGGAGGCGAGGAGCCGCGGCCGAGCAGCGGGAUCAGGAAACUAGGUCCCCAGCGUCCUCCACCCUAACAGGCUGGGGGCUUUGAGGCUGUCACUUCACCUCCGCGUGUGCAAUGGGGACAGCCACGACCCCGGCCCCACACAGCAGAUGAUCCAAAAGAUGGCACAGAGCUUCGCAAGCAAAAGAUGCAGGCGCUGACUCGGCUUCUCGGCUGCCUGCCCUGCAACCCUUUGGGGCACCAGACACCAGAGCUCCCGACACCGCAGCGUCCUUUCAAAGGCAUUUUGUUGCUCUCACACAGAGGCCUCCGGAAGCCCGGAGGCUCCACCGGAGAGAGGAGGCUGCCCAGGGAGGCCUGAGGAGCCGGCAGAGGAAAGAGGAAACAGACUGUGGAGGUGAUAGUGAGGGUCGCUGGUCACCCACCUGGAGCGGAAGCUUCCCCCUUGGGCAGGCCCAGAACGAUUUAUAGGCCGGCUGCUCUGUGACCCAGCUGACCCAGGGCUGGCCACUCCCUAGGAGCCCAAGCAGCUGCUGAAGCAUCCCCCUGCCCAAGCUGUGCCCAGUCCCUCGAUUCUUGCAAGGGUGGUAGGGCCACUUCCUCAAACGCCCUUCCCCAGUGACCCAGGGCCAGGUGGCGUCUCCUUGGGCGACAGCUCUGAGGGAGCAGGGUAUCUGUGAGUCGGGCCGGGCUCCCCACCCAGCUGCCAUCCUUGGCACAGACACUCACCAAAGUGCCUUUGCUCAUCAUGAGCCAUGGCAGCAAUGAUCUCACUGCCACCCUAGACAGCCAGACCACGUCUGUCCCUUGAUGUCAAGUGACCGUUACUAGGCCACCUGAGGCAGACGAGUGUCUCAUCAGCAAACUCAUGGAGGACAAAUGGUCAGCGAGAGCCCUUCCUCUGUCAGCACUCAGGACGACGAGGCAGAGGCUGAGAAAGGGCACUGACCAACACCUGGGUCUGGGGUUGGCUGAGGGUCCCACUUCCAGGAGUUAGCCUGGGACAGGGUUAAUUCACCGGGAGAUGGGGAGACCCUUGCAGCCCCCGCAGCCCAUGGUCUGGGGCCCCAGUGUGGACACUGCCCCUUCCCAGCCAGGCCCCUCUGAGCCAGCCUGAAUUCCAGGCCCAGCUGCUGGCAGACAAGACGCAGGGAGGGACGGGGACAGGGUGACAGGCACUCUCUUGGUUUUUGCUUGCAUGUCACCUGCCAAGGAACCUCAAACUCGGACCCCCAAAGUCGCAGCCCCACAUCCCCCUUGGGUAGAAUUUGGAGGUGGCCGAGAUGGGCGAGAGGGACCCGAGAGGGAUUGCCGGGUCUGGGCGGUCCAGUGCCCUGUCUUAAGGGCAGCGAGUGCUCAGGCCGCAUGGCGCGCUCCCACUCCGGAGAGUGCGGUCAGCCCCCGUUUGCCGGCGGAGGAACCAGCAAGCAGGUAACAAGGGGGCACAGGGCCCUGGAAGGAAGGAACGGCAGUCACUUCGUCCACUGAGCCUGCGACGCAUUUUCGCCCCGACCUCGCGAGCUGCGGUGCAGUCUCGGGGCGGCCCGUCGCCUCUCAGUGGGUCUGGGGAGCAGGUCUGAAGUCGCCUCUGCGGCCUCCCGCUCCCGCCCUCGCUCUACCAUGCCGGUGUGAACCAGGAGCUCAACGUCCGGCGCCGCCGCGGGCCCCCGGCGGGAGCCGGCGGCCGGCAGGAGCGGUGCGGGGGCGCCCUCCAGCGGCCGCGGUCGGGAAGGCGGCCGGCUGGAAGGCUGCGAAGCGCCGGCCGCGCGGGGCGAGCUUGCGCUGGGGGGACCUGGGGACCGCGCCGCGCCCCAGUGCCGGGCCUCGCGGACGGCGCCCCGUGUCACUGACUGGAUCGCAGUUUUAUCCCCAUCAGGUGCGGAUGUGUCCCCGGCUUGUCUCUGUGAUGGACACAGCCCCUGGUAUGGUCUGCCCCCGCCCCGCAGCCCAGCGAGGAGGCAGGCCCCGCCCCGCCCAGGGGGCGCGUGCGGAACUGGAGCACACGCCCAGUGAAGCAGCCCGUGGGAGCCCACCCAGCAGGCACCAGCGCCUCCCUCUGAGCUCAGAUCCUGCCACACCCAGGCCAAGAGCACUUCUGGAGCAAAGACACGGCAGACGCUGUUUCCAGUAUUACGGCUUUAAAUGUUUCAACAGCUUUGUUGAGAUAUAAUUCACACACCAUUCAAUUCACCCAUUUAAAGUGUACAAUUCUGUGGUUUCAGUAUAUUACAUCAUUAAUUUUUUAACGUGGUAAAAUAUAUAGAACAUAAAAUUUGCCAUUUUAAAACCCUUUUUUUAAGUCUUAAGUGUUCCGUGGCAUUUAAGUAUAUUCAGUGUUCUGCAACCAUCACCACUACCCAUUUCCAGAACUUUUGCAUCAUUCUGAACAGUAACUUUGUCCUCGUUAAGCAAUAACUCCCCAUUUCUCCCUCCCCCCAGCCCCUGGUAACCUCUAAUCUACUUUCCAUCUCUAAGAAUUUGUCUACUCUAGAUGUUUCAUAUGAGUGGAAUCAUACAGUAUUUGUCCUUUUAUGCCACUCAGCACAGUGUCUCCAAGGUUCAUCCAUGUUCAAGGGUGUGUCAGAACUUCAUUCCUCUUCGUGGCUGAGUAAUAUUCCAUCGUAUGGCUGGAGCACGUGUUUCUCCACUCAUCUGUUGACGGCCACUUGAGUUGUUCCCCCCUUUUCCCUGUUGUGAACAGUGUUGCAGCGAACAUUGGCGUACAGCGUCUGUUCGAGGCCCUGCCCUCACUUCCUCUGAGUGCGUCCUCGAGUGGAAGGCAAUUCUCUCUUUAGCUCAUGGAGAGGGGACAAACUGUUCUCCAGAACGCGGCACCAGCACUGCGUGAGGGUUCCAAGUUCUCUGCCUCCUCACCAGCGCAGGUUACUUUCAUCAUUAUUAUUACUGUAUAGCGUUGAUUUUUAAAAGUAAUGUUUGCAUUACAAGCUAUAUAUUCGUUGAGAAGAAUGUAAAAGCUACAGAGAUAACAAACAUUUUGCAUUUUCC
rnacentral:lncRNA from 1 species